CUACGGGGGGCUGCAGUGAGGAAUCUUGCGCAAUGGGGGAAACCCUGACGCAGCGACGCCGCGUGGGUGAUGAAGGCCUUCGGGUCGUAAAGCCCUGUCGAGAGGGAAGAAUUGCAUUUAGGUUAAUAGCCUAAUUGUUUGACGGUACCUCCAAAGGAAGCACCGGCUAACUCCGUGCCAGCAGCCGCGGUAAUACGGAGGGUGCAAGCGUUGUUCGGAAUCACUGGGCGUAAAGGGCGUGUAGGCGGCUGAGUAAGUCAGGUGUGAAAUCCCUCGGCUCAACCGAGGAAGUGCAUUUGAUACUGCUCAUCUUGAGUACUGGAGAGGGAGAUGGAAUUCCCGGUGUAGAGGUGAAAUUCGUAGAUAUCGGGAGGAACACCAGUGGCGAAGGCGAUCUCCUGGACAGAUACUGACGCUAAGGCGCGAAAGCGUGGGGAGCAAACAGGAUUAGAUACCCUAGUAGUC
rnacentral:rRNA from 1 species